CGUCAGUUCGUACUGUGAAGCAUCCUGUUAAGUCAGGCAACGAGCGAGACCCACGCCAACAGUUGCCAGCUCGUCCUCCGGGGAUGGUGGGACACUGUUGGGACCGCCUCUGCUAAAGAGGAGGAAGGAAUGGGCAACGGUAGGUCAGCAUGCCCCGAAUUAUCUGGGCUACACGCGGGCUACAAUGGGUGGGACAAUGGGUAUCGACACCGAAAGGUGAAGGCAAUCUCCUAAACCCAUCCGUAGUUCGGAUUGUGGGCUGCAACUCGCCCACAUGAAGCUGGAAUCUGUAGUAAUCGUGUCUCAAAAUGGCACGGUGAAUAUGUCCCUGCUCCUU
rnacentral:rRNA from 1 species